rnacentral:lncRNA from 1 species
AUAGCAGGACACAAUUGGAAACAUUGCUUAUAUUACCAAGGCUUUUACUGGAACGUCAUAUUUGAGAAAAACACAAAGACUCAGAUAUGAUGAGACAGCUUUUGAGGAAUAAAUUUCAACUUUCUGGAAUAAAGCCAUUUGGAAAUAUCAGCCUAGUACCUUGUUUACAGGUCUCAUAGUAACCUUACCAGACUGGAUCCUGAAUUCUUCUAGUCUCCUGAAAUAUCUGGCUAAAAAUCUACAAACUACCAUUUUCAAUUUUUUCCAUCAUUUCCAUUUGGACUCAUUGAGAACUGAACCUGCCUGUUUUCCUGAAGCCAAGCAAACUGAAGCUGGAGGACUUGAUAUAAAAUUAAGAGAGAUUCAUGUCUGUUGCUAUAUAACUUGGAAGACAAAGGAAAACAAAGGAAAUGAACUGUUGUAUCUGGGUGAAGAGAUCAUGAGAAAAAAAUGUUGAAGCAACAAAUGACUGCUUUUAGUCAUAUAUCAUAUGGAACUCAAAGAAAGAGAUGACCUCUAAAGGAACUAUCGAGUUUGCAAAGAGAAUUUAGAGAAGAUAUAGAGAGCUCAACAAUUGUGGGAUUUACUGAAUCUUAAGAGUGUUUUCUACAGCAACCUAAUAUGGC